rnacentral:rRNA from 1 species
GUAGGUGGCAAGCGUUGUCCGGAAUUAUUGGGCGUAAAGCGCGCGCAGGCGGUCCUUUAAGUCUGAUGUGAAAGCCCACGGCUCAACCGUGGAGGGUCAUUGGAAACUGGGGGACUUGAGUACAGAAGAGGAAAGCAGAAUUCCAAGUGUAGCGGUGAAAUGCGUAGAGAUUUGGAGGAACACCAGUGGCGAAGGCGGCUUUCUGGUCUGUAACUGACGCUGAGGCGCGAAAGCGUGGGGAGCAAACAGGAUUAGAUACCCUGGUAGUCCACGCCGUAAACGAUGAGUGCUAAGUGUUAGGGGGUUUCCGCCCCCCUUAGUGCUGCAGCUAACGCAUUAAGCACUCCGCCUGGGAGUACGGCCGCAAGGCUG